UACGUAGGGUGCAAGCGUUAAUCGGAAUUACUGGGCGUAAAGCGUGCGCAGGCGGUGAUGUAAGACAGGUGUGAAAUCCCCGGGCUUAACCUGGGAACUGCGUUUCUAACUGGCAGGCUUGAGUGUGGCAGAGGGGGGUGGAAUUCCACGUGUAGCAGUGAAAUGCGUAGAGAUGUGGAGGAACACCGAUGGCGAAGGCAGCCCCCUGGGCUAACACUGACGCUCAUGCACGAAAGCGUGGGGAGCAAACAGG
rnacentral:rRNA from 1 species